UUUUUAGCAUUUCUUGAGUAUUAGUUUCAUGUUGUGUUUUUUUGUUUAUUUGUUUUUAGAUUCAUGGGGUACAUGUGCAGGCUUGUACAUGUGCAUAUUGGGUGAUGCUGAAGGUUGGACAUCUAAUAAUCCUCUUACCCAACUAGUAAACAUCGUACUCAAUAGUUACUUUUCAACCCUUGUCCCCAUCCCUCCCGUUAUAUUAUUUUAAUAAAAUACGAUAGUUUCCAAAACUGUCUUGAAUCUGAAAACUUGUCUGAAGUAACUAAAAGAAGAAACAAAGAAUAAAAUUAAUUAUAUCUUAUUAAAUUAAUAUGUGAUAAAGAAAACGUGUCUUGGUUUAGUAUCUAUUGAGAUGUAUCUUUCAGCUUCUGCUGCUAUGUGCCAGCACCUGCCAGCUGAGGAACAAAUGUGGGUAUGUGAGCAAUUCUGCUCUUUAAGUACUCAGUUUAAUUUAGGAGACACAUGUAAGCAAGAAGAGGUAACAUGCCCAUUGUCAUGGGAUUGGACAGUCUAGGUAAUAAAAAGAAGUGUCUUAUACUUAAAAUACUGGGUAUGUAUGAAAUGGAAUAUUAGGAAAAGAAACUGAGGUGCUAGAUUAAAAUAUGAUUGUGCCUUUGUAAGUUUAUUCUCUAUGGAGUUGGGAAUUUAUUUCUUUUUUUUUUUAAAUAUAUAGAUGUUCUGAUCAAGAUAUACUCAAAGGCAAUGUAAAAUAAAUGGACUAGUAUAGAUAGAUUUGUGGAGAUCUAUUAUAAUAAUCUAGGCAAGACUGAGAAGGUUCUGAACUGUGGAACGGAACAGAAAGGGUUGAGCUGAAUAGACAUUUCUGAAGUAUAAUGGAUGAUCAUUAUGUUAGCUUGGUAAUUAGGGAUAUGAGAGAAUGAGUUGUCAGUAGUGACUGAGAUUUCUAGAUUGGAAAAUGUUAACCAAGAUAGAGAAUUCAUGAAGAAGAAUAAGUUGGAAUAGGGAAGAAGAUAAAGAAUUUAUCUUUCAAUGAAUGAAGUUUGAGAUUCUUGGGAAGGGGACAUGACUAAUAUUUGGUUGGAACCAUGGAUCAGAGUUAAAAAAAAAAAAAAUGAAGCAGAGGCAGAGCUUUGAGUGUUAUAGCGUAAAAGUAGCAACUGAAGCUUAGGAUAGAUGAAAUUACCUAAGGAGAAAGCGUAGGUUAAAUGAAUAAACUGGACCAAGGACAGAAUCCUAGGCAUACGUGUGUGUGUGUGUCUGUGUGUGUAUUGGUUUGUGUGUGUGUAUAUUGUGAGAGGUAGUUGGGGGGAGAUAAUUAGUGAAAUUAGAGAUGCCUUUAGAACAAAUUGGAAAUAGCAUAAGAUGUAGGACAGCCAUGUUCUAGAAACCAAAAAUGGGAGACUUAGAAUUGUAGAUACAUUUGGAGAGAGAGGGUAGAGAAAUUGGGCAAUUUGCUUUUGGAUCUCUAUUUUCUCUGUGAAACAGUAUACAGGGUUAUUUGGUGAAAAAGGAUAAGCACUGGGGUUGUAGAAAAGCAUGAGAGGCAUGAUACGUAUUUCAGACAGUCACAAUGAUGGGUAACAAAGGAAUCUUACAAAGGGUAUAUGAAAGGAAAAUUAGAAAUUUUUAAGGUGCUAUUUGGCAUUACUCUGUGAUUUAUCUAUAUCAGCACUAUAUUUUUGUCUGUCAUUCCAUGGAUAAUGUUAAAAGCAAUGGUUUGUUAAUCCAAAGUUAUUCUCUGGCAGGGUGAAUUUUUUGGAUUGUUAAAGAAGUGAGAUAGUUGAGGGCAUAGCUACUAGUGUAUCAGCUAUGCCAAGGUUGGGAUUUAGUCCUUAAAGGGAAGGAAAUGAAAGCAAGAAAAACUGAUAUUAAGCUUUUUUCCAAUGUGAUUGCUUUCAAAGGACCUUAUAGUCUUUCAGUGUCUUAAAUACAGCUUUGCUAAAAGAUUUGAAACAAAACAGAGAUUAGAAAGGUCAGCAACAUUUGGGCAGCUCAAAGUUUCUUAUUUUAUUCUUUAAAAGUCUGUAUUUCUUUGUUUGGCUAACUAUUCACGUUAUUGCUUUUAUAUCACUAGAUAAGAUCAUAAGUUAAUACUUACAAUCAAAUAUUCUUGAAAUUCUCUAACAAACAAUUCUAUAAAAAUUUAAAUGUAGGAAAUUCCAUUUGGUAGAGUGAAAAAAAUUCAAUGCAGUUGUUCCUUGUAUCUGUUGGGGAGUGAUUCCAGGACCUCCAGUGGAUACCAAAAUCCACAGAUGCUUAAGUCCUUUAUAUAAAAUGGUGUAGAAUUUGCAUACAACCUAUGCACAUCUUCCUGUAUACUUUAAAUCAUCUCUUGAUUACUUAUAAUACCAAAUACAAUAUAAAUGCUAUGUAAAUAGUUGUUAAACUGUAUUGUUUAGGGAAUAAUAACAAGACAAAAACUCUGUACACAUUCAGAACAGAUACAACUAUCCUUUUUUAAAUAAAUAUUUUAAAUUCACAGUUGCCUGAAUCCAUGUGUGUGGAACCCAUGGGCAUGGAGGGUUGACUAUAUUUGCAGUCAGAGCACUAUU